AUCAAUUUUAUGCAUUAUUAAAAUACAUACAGAUGUGUACACUUAUUAUGCAUAUGUGGACAUUUAAACAUACACAAACACUGACACUCAAGUCCGUGCACAAGUUUCUCAAGAUGACUUUGAAGCAAUGAUAAUUUAUCAGUUUGGAUGAUGAGAAAAUACAGGAAAGGAUAUGAGAAGUUGGAACUUGGAAGUUUGUAACAAAUUGGGUUUGCAAUGAUUGUUUUGAGAUUCCAUGGUUUAUUUAAUAACUGCAGAGGAUAUCUCAUCCUCUUUUCCAAUUUGGGUUUGCAAUGACCUCUUUUUUCGUUUUUCUCAAGAAUCAACUAUUUGAGAAUGUUUGAUUGAUGAUUGUCAAUAGUUUGAUAUCUUCCAUACUUCUGAAGUUUUUUUCUAUUAUUUGUUUUUUCUAAUUUAUAUGCAGGCUAUUAGCCCAUGAAGGAAUAAAUGCAGAGCAAUUUGCUUGGGAUCUUAAAUCUUUUGAAUUAAAGAUGACUUUUGAAGAUGUUUUCCCUACUGAGGCAACAAUCGUGGAAGAGUAUCUACAACAGAAUCAUCAUGUACUUCAAUUGCUGUUAGGGGGGCAUGCCAGAGUCAUUGCUGAAAGGCCAUGAAGAAUCAAACCUGACAAAGAUUAAGCAAAGAAUCAUCAUCAUGCAUUCCAUGACAAAGUGAAGGCAAG